rnacentral:rRNA from 1 species
CCUACGGGAGGCAGCAGUGGGGAAUAUUGCACAAUGGCGGAAACCCUGAUGCAGCGACGCCGCGUGAGUGAAGAAGUAAUUCGUUACGUAAAGCUCUAUCAGCAGGGGAGCAAAUGACGGUACCUGAGUAAGAAGCCCCGUCUAACUACGUCCCAGCAGCCGCGGUAAUACGUAGGGAGCAGGCGUUAUCCGGCUUUACUGGGUGUAAAGGGGGCGUAGACGGUGCGCCAAGUGUGGAGUGAAAUGCCGCAGCUUAACUGCGGAACGGCUUUGGAAACUGGCGAACUAGAGUGCGGGAGGGGUAAGCGGAAUUCCUAGUGUAGCGGUGAAAUGCGUAGAUAUUAGGAGGAACACCGGUGGCGAAGGCGGCUUACUGGACCGUAACUGACGUUGAGGCUCGAAAGCGUGGGGAGCAAACAGGAUUAGAUACCCCUGUAGUC